CAUAGUUUGAGUUUUCAUAAGACUUCUGCACAGGCAGAGAGAAAUAAGAUCAUGUCUAUAGCUGUGUGAUGAUCAUAUUAAAAAUAUUACUAAGUUUUUAAAUAUCAUUUCAAAUGGUUCAUUUGUAUCUCACAUUGGACAUAAGUAGAUCGUAAGGUUAAUGGAAAGUAGAAAAGUUGACUGGCUUGCAUGACCAUAAAAGAGACAUUGAUCUGAAAAAGAAACAUUUAUUCAUUUACUUCAGCUGCAGUUUUCUUGACUGCUGAAUUUCAUGAAAAGGGAUUGUUCAGGGAGGGUUAUGGAGCUGAAGGUCCAGACAGGAGCUGGUGCUACCGCUGUUCAAAUCUGAAGGUAGUGGAGAUGGAGCCUUGGGGAGGAGAUGGUGCUGCAUUUUAAGUCUGAAAAUCAUUGAGCUGGAGGUCCACGGAGGAGCCGGUGCUGCCACUGAUGUCUUAGGUUGUAGAGCUGAAGACCAGUUAAGGAGCUGGUGUUGCUGUUCUUCUGUGAGGGUCGUGGAGCUGGAGAUCCAGUGGGGAGAGGUGUUCUAAUUUGAGGGUCAUGCAGCUGGAGACCUGGGAGAAACUGAUGUUUUUUUAAUUGGAGGGUCAUGGAGCUGGAGACUUGGGGAGGAGCUGGUGUUGUUCUAGUUUCAGAGUCAUGGAGCUGGAGACCCGGGGAGGAGCUGGUGUUGUUCUAGUUUCAGAGUUGUGGAGCUGGAGACCCAGGGAGCAGCUGGUGUUUUUCUAGUUUCAGGUUCUUGCAGCUGGAGACCUGGGGAAAAGCUAGUGUUUGUUACUUUGAGGGUCGUGCAGCUGCAGACUCUGGGAGGAGCUGAUGUUGUUCUAGUUUGAGGCUUCUGCGUCUGGAGACUCAGGUGGGAGUUGAUGUUUUACUGAUCAGAGGGUCAUGGAGCUGGAGACACAGGGAGUAGUUGAUGUUUUCCUUGUUAGAGGGUCAUGGAGCUGCAGACCCGUGGAGGAGCUGGUGCUGCUCUUGUUUAAGUCUGAGGGUCGUGGAGCUGGAGAUCCAAGGAGGAGCUGGUGCUGCUGUUGUUUAAGUCUGAGGGUCAUGGAGCUGGAGAUCCAGGGAAGAGUUGGUGCUGUGGUUCAAGUCUGAGGGUCCUGGAGCUGGAGCCCCCGGGAGGAGUAAGUACUGCCACUGAUGUCUUAGGUUUUGGAGCCGUACACAUGUGGAGAAGGUGGGCUGGUGUUCUAGUUUGAGGUUCAUGGAGCUGGAGUCCUGGUCAGGAGCCAGUGAUGCUGUUCAAGUCUGAAGUUUGUGGAGCUAAACAUGGAACCACUGUUGGGGAAGUAGAGAGAGACAGAGUUACAGGAUGCCACUUGAAACUGUAGAUGUAGCUGAAUCCCAAG
rnacentral:lncRNA from 1 species